rnacentral:rRNA from 1 species
UACGGAGGGGGCUAGCGUUGUUCGGAAUUACUGGGCGUAAAGCGCGCGUAGGCGGACCUGCAAGUCGGGGGUGAAAGCCCGAGGCUCAACCUCGGAACUGCCUUCGAUACUGCGGGUCUCGAGUCCGGGAGAGGUGAGUGGAAUUCCUAGUGUAGAGGUGAAAUUCGCAGAUAUCGAGAGGAACACCGGUGGCGAAGGCGGCCUUCUGGACAGCCACUGACGCUGAGACGCGAAAGCGUGGGGAGCAAACAGG